GGUGCUUGCACUAAUCCUAGAGCGGCGGACUGGUGAGUAACGCGUGGGUGACGUACCUUCGUGACGGGGACAGCUCCUAGAAAUAGGAGAUAAUACCGGAUACGCUGUAUGUUGUCAGAGGACAUACAGGAAAGGAUCUUUUGAUUCGCACGGAGAGCGGCCCGCGUACUAUUAGCUAGUUGGUGAGGUAACGGCCCACCAAGGCAACGAUAGUUACCCGGCCUAAGAGGGUGAUCGGGCACAUUGGGACUGAGAUACGGCCCAGACUCCUACGGGAGGCAGCAGCUAAGAAUAUUCCGCAAUGGGCGAAAGUCUGACGGAGCGACGCCGCGUGGAUGAUGAAGGCCGGAAGGUUGUAAAAUCCUUUUAUGACUGAGGAAUAAGGAGGGUGAGAGAAACGCCCUCUGGUGACUGUAGGUCAUGAAUAAGCAACGGCUAAUUACGUGCCAGCAGCCGCGGUAACACGUAAGUUGCGAGCGUUGUUCGGAAUUAUUGGGCGUAAAGGGUAUGUAGGCGGUUCUGCAAGUCUGGUGUGAAAUGCCGGGGCUCAACCCCGGAACUGCGUUGGAAACUGCAGGACUUGAAUCGCUGAGGGGCAGCCAGAAUUCCAGGUGUAGGGGUGAAAUCUGUAGAUAUCUGGAA
rnacentral:rRNA from 1 species